AUACUUACCUGGACGGGGUCUAUGGCCGAUCAAGAAGGGUCAUGGCCUAGGCUAGUGGCCCACAUUGCACCUGGUGGGUGCGCUGGCUUACCAUCUCCCCAAGUGGGAGAGUGGACGUCAUAAUUUGUGGUAGAGGGGGUACGCGUCCGCGCGGCCCNNN
rnacentral:snRNA from 1 species